rnacentral:rRNA from 1 species
CCAAUAGCGUAUAUUAAAGUUGUUGCAGUUAAAAAGCUCGUAGUUGAAUUUCGGGAUUCAUCCGUUGGUCGGGCUUCACGGUCCGUACUGGUGUGAUGGGUUCCUACCUUCUGAAUAACCGGCAUGCCAUUAAUUUGGUGCGCCGGGGAAGCAGAACUAUUACCUUGAAAAAAUUAGAGUGCUUAAAGCAGGCAAGUGCCUGAAUAGGUUGGCAUGGAAUAAUAAAAUAGGACGGCAUGGUUCUAUUUUGUUGGUUUCUAGGAUCACCGUAAUGAUUAAUAGGGAUAGUUGGGGGCAUUAGUAUUCAAUUGUCAGAGGUGAAAUUCUUGGAUUUAUUGAAGACUAACUUCUGCGAAAGCAUUUGCCAAGGAUGUUUUCAUUAAUCAAGAACGAAAGUUAGGGGAUCGAAGACGAUCAGAUACCGUCGUAGUCUUAACCAUAAACUAUGCCGACUAGGGAUCGGACGAUGUUAAUUUUUUAAUGACUCGUUCGGCGCCUUACG